GGGAUCUGAGCUCAGCUGGGAGAGCAUCUGCCUUACAAGCAGAGGGUCAUAGGUUCGAGCCCUAUAGGUCCCA
rnacentral:tRNA from 1 species